rnacentral:rRNA from 1 species
UACGUAGGGUGCGAGCGUUGUCCGGAAUUACUGGGCGUAAAGAGCUCGUAGGUGGUUUGUCGCGUUGUCCGUGAAAACUCACAGCUCAACUGUGGGCGUGCGGGCGAUACGGGCAGACUGGAGUACUGCAGGGGAGACUGGAAUUCCUGGUGUAGCGGUGGAAUGCGCAGAUAUCAGGAGGAACACCAGUGGCGAAGGCGGCAUCCUGGCCAUGUACUGACGCUCAGGGGCGAAAGCGUGGGGAGCAAACCGG